ensembl:lncRNA
UGAAUGUGUUGGACCACAGUGUGUAUCUCAUCCCCAGCCAGAGAUAUUUGUGCAGCUGGCUUGCAGUUCCCCUCUCCCUAAUGUGCAGGCAAGGGGAUGGAGAGGAUGUAUGAAUGCUGGGGCACCUUUUUAUCAAGAAAAUUCACUGCUGAAUCACAGCUGAGACACAGGAUACAGAGGCUCAAGCUCUGUUUGGGAAGGAGUGGGGAGCAAAGGUGGGGAGGAGACCUUUAACCAUCACCUACCCCUUUAUCACUGGCUGUUGUCUGCCUGAUCCCAUGUCAUACAACAUGACAGUGUUUGUAUUGCUUCCCUGUUCCCAUUUAGAUUAGAGAUUGACCAAUGUGACCUGUGUUUCCAGACCUUUGUUUGAACACAGCUAAUGCAAGUCUUGCUCUGGUGGAAGCCCUGCUGUGUCCUAUUCCCAUUUGGACAGAAAGCCUCUGAAUCUGCUUGGAUCAUGAGGAAGACAAAGCAUUCCUGGGCAGCCGUGGCGGGAAGAGGCAACAAGGGGGAGAAAACGGCUGAGGAAAAUGCAAGAAUACUGCCCAAGGCCACACAUGAGGAGAGAAAGAAGCAGGAGGCAAAGAGGAAAGGGACACUGAAAACCUUGGCAGGCAAAUUGCUAAAGACUGUGGUUGGUGGGAAAGAGGCAAUGAAGAAGGCUGGCGGUGAGGAUGUGGCAGGGAAUUUGCUAAAGAUGCCAACCAAUAGGAAGGGAGCGGAGAGAGGGACACCUGCAGAGGAAACCAUCUGCAUAUGCAUUGAGCAAGGAAAAUUUUUGGAAGCUUGUGAUCAUAUUUAUAAUCUGAAGCAUUCUGGAAAUGAUGGUGUGCGAAAAUCUGAAUCACUUUAUGCGCUGCUGGCUGAACGAAUGUGGACUGUGGUGGAAGAAGUGCUCAGUGGAAGUGGCAGGAUGUUCCUGGAGCCAUUGCAGUCAGUGGGGGAGUCACUGAAGUGGGAGAAGCAGAAGGAAGCAGACUGGCUUGGCAACAGCCAAGGAAUGGAUUCUCUUUCCACCUGGAGUCCAAACUUCUGGAGGAAAGAUCUGGAGGAAAAACUGAUACAGUACGUGACAGCCCAGAUUCCCCUGUUUGGUUCCCCUGCUAACACAGAUGAUACUGCACUAAAACAGCAUCUUAGUCAUCUAGAAACGACAUUUCUCCCCAGCCUGGAACACAGAAGUGAUGUCUUUAAGGAAGCAGGACUGCUUGUCACCUAUGCCCGCUGCUGUCGUGCCUCUUUGUGUUCUCACCUUUCCACACUUACUGACAGUAACCAUUUCAGCUUCAGCCAAUGUCUUUUAAUUUAUGAAUGGGGCCUUAAAAUAUACAAAAGUGGCAGCAAGGCAUGUCUGAGACCCAGCCAGAUCCCCCAGCACAACCUUUCCCUUGAUGGACAGUAUCUCGUGUGGAUUAUUUUGAAGACUGAGGAAAAGUUACUUGCAGUCACACGGGAGGAAGUAGGGAAAGCCCUGAAAGAAGCCUUUGAUAUUGGGAAACCCCCUUGUACAGAUGCCGCAGUCAUUCAGAUACUAACAGAGAAGACAGAGGCUGCCAGGCGUGUCAGCGAGAGCCUCAGUGAGAAGGUGGAAGCUGUGUGCCUGGAGCAGUGCCUGAGGUUCCUGGAGAGCUAUGAAGAUGAAGUAAGAAGCUUUCUCCAGCUUGAUGACUGCCCACCAAUCUGCAGCAGCUUACGAAUCCUAGAGAACUGCUGCCUUCUCAGGACUGUCUGGCUUAAGCUAACAUACAUUUGCAGUGCCAGCACUGGCCAGGAUCUUAAGGUGAAUGGAUUUCUAGACAGGAUGGAAGAUGACAUUACAGAGCGUUUUCUGCAGACAGUCACUUCUAAAGUCAAGGGAACACUGAAGAAUCACUUCAAAAAGUGUGACAGUGGUUUUGGCCACAUUCUUGAAUCCUUAAAGCAAAGCUUUUUGGCCUUUGGGAAGAAACAAACAGAUAUGUAUGAGGCCCUCGUCCAGGCUGUCAAUGCCAUUGUUAUUACAGAAUAUGUACAGGCUCUCCUGACCACUCCCAGGAAACCAUCUUCUGUGCAGAGGAGGAAGGUUGUCAACAAGAUAGAAGAAGAUCAUAGGAUGAUGCAAGCCAUCUUUAAAGAGUGCUUAGGUCCUGCAGCUGGUCCCCUCAAGGAUCCCAUAAAAGCAAUUUUAGAACUUAUUCAAGCUUCCGAUGCGGAGGGGAUGGAAAUAGCUCUUCUGCCCAUUCUCAAAGAAUUUCCUGAGCUCAGGAAGGAACAUCUGAGUGCUGUGCUGGACCUCAAAGACUCACUCAGCCGACAAGACAGAACUGCUCUCUUGAAGGCAUUUGAAGAUAAUUGCAGGGAAUCAGAAACAGAAGCAAACUUACUUUUUGCAGAUAUAGAAGUAAAACCUAGAAAAUAUGGGCUCUGUGGCUGCCUCUGCUGUUAGCAAAGGCCUGCUGUGAGAAACGUGAAGCCUUGCUCCCAUGUGGCAGCAUCUGCAAUCACAGCUCCUUGAAAGCAUCAGGGACCCAUGCAGCUGGACAUAUGGAGAAGCCUGUCAGCUAUGGAAGACACAGUUCCUGCAUUUUUGCGGGAAAGCCACGUGGCUCAAAUCCUAAUCUUCUAUGCAAAAUCCAGGAGGGAGAUGGAUGGGAUAUGGCAGAAAGACAUUCCUCCAAAAUUUCCUAGAGAUUGCCACUUAGCUGAGUCCUGGUAGUUAUUCCCAGGAUGUGGCAUGGUGGCAUGUGUGAAGGAGGAAGGUUCACCCUUACCAAAUUUCUCUCUGUUUCCAUCCCUUGUUUCCUGCAAUCUCACAUGAAACCAGGGACUGCUGCACCACACGUUGUCCUAGUGUUGCAACCUCCUGAGGGACUUGGGAUCCUCUUGGGGAAUCCUGCCUAGCCCAUCGUGCUGGGAGUGCUUGCUGGUCUGGGCACCUUGAUCCACCCCCCCGAAGCCUGACCCACACCAGGAGGGGUGCAGACAGAGCUGCCUCUUCCUUCACUCACAAAGGCUGUGACCUGCUUCAGGGGCAACCUGCCAUGGUGGGCUGUGGGAUGGGGAGUGCUUCCCGUAUGAGUUUUACAGCUGGCUCUGGAGCAUAGUCUUGCAUUCAUUUUUAUCCCUUGGUUACUGGAAAUUUCCUCUUGGAGAGGGAGGAGAAAGCCUCAUGGGAAGCAGGCAGUGAAAGGAGUUGUUUGUCCGAGCCUCCGGGCAAGGUCUCUGCUAGUUUUCAGAUGUAAAUAGGCAGUUCUGACAGGAAAACACCGACUUUUCUUCCCAGUUAUCUAUGGACUGGUCACAACCUCCAAGCUGGAUGUGGUUCAAGGCCCUCCUUUGCUAUUGUGUGAAAACAGGCCAUUAAUGCUCCUGUCUGACAGCAUAAACAAGCAAAAGAACUCUGCCUCAUAUGUGCCAGUGCUUUUCUGAGCUGCCAUUUUCCCUCGAAUCUGCUUCCCUGACAAGUAAAGCGGAAAAUCUGUGCAUAACCUGUCAAUGUGUGAGGCAGCAGAUGUGUCAUGCCCUGGGACCCAGGGAAAGCGCAGACCUGGUGGGUUCUGCCACGUUCUGCGGUGCUGUGCCACCAUCCCAGGGGCACAGGUGUCCCAGCUCAGGGGCAUCUUCUCUGCCCAGAGCCCUGGGUGCAGAUGGGGUCCUGUGAGCUCUUCAGGAGCCAGGCAGGUUUGUAAUUGUCACUAGCUUUGCACCUGGUGCAGUGCUGAGCGUGGCAGAGCAGCAGGAAGGAAAAGGCUGCUCCAUCUCCAGGGAGUCCUCUGUGUGCUUUCAGGGCCCCACGAGACCUUGGCAUCGUUACACUGCAUCCCUCACGUCACUAAAGGGCAGUGAGAGCAUCUCAUGGCCUGAAUGCCCUUCCUGACUGCAUGGCUGCUCCAAAGUCCAGUCCUGGUGUCCCUCACGUUUCAUAGGUUGUGCAUUGCAGCUUCAGUGAGACCUUUCCUGGGAUGUGGGAAGGCUGGGGGAGCUGAGGCAGCUGCAGCCUGGACAGGUGGGCACAGCUGGGCUGUGGGGCUGAGUGGGCACCUGUCCUCCAAAGGGUGCCAGCCUUGCCAGGCACACUGGGCCAGUCACCCUCCCCUCCUGAUGAAUUGCACAUUUUUUCGAGGGUGGGAAGGGAUAACAGACCUGCAUGACAGACCCUAUUGUGACAGCAGGGUCAAGGUCAGCCUCUGCCAAUGGGAAUUUCCAGCAACAAGCCUUCCAGAGGAAAUAAAUAAAAAUAAAAGCCCCUCUGACA